rnacentral:snoRNA from 1 species
CCCUGUAUGCGAAAGUGAUCGUGGGCUGUCUGUGCCCUGGUCAUUGAUACUGCAGAGAGAGGAUUCCGAAAGCCUUUCCCCGUGUUUGGAAGGUCCACUCCCGUCCUUGCCAGACCCUGGUGCUUUCCUACA